UUCUGAGUAACUAAAUUAAAGUCUUGAAUUUUUACUUCAAUAAUGGGUGAUCGGGUGACCCCCUAGAAC
rnacentral:tRNA from 1 species